rnacentral:lncRNA from 1 species
CUAAAAAUCGCCCUUCACAGCCCUAAAAUUCAAAUUUCUUCAAAGUGAUGAAGUGGAUUUCACUGCUAUAAUGAACGCACCACUUCGGUUCCUAAAAAACGAAGAACAACAUUUUCGCAAGGUACAAUACGAAACGAAGCAAGUACGAGUCUUAAUUUACGAAACCAUGUGUUUUCUUGGUUUUUGCCAUUUUCGACCGCGUGUUGUAGCCAUAGG